AGCUGUUUACACAACUAUUGGAAUCCUCUUACUCCUCCUAGCCGUGUCACUGGUCUGUGGUAUUCUGUGGAUUAGGAGGAAGAGAAGUUGCAGCUCAUCACAGGAAACACAAACCACUGGAGGAAAUGGCCAGACAAACCCUACUGUGUGCAGCAGUGCUUCAACAAAAGCAGAAGAUUCGGAGGAUGAGAACAAUAUUCAGUACUCCAGCAUUCAGUUCCGUCAUCCCAACAAGCCCAACAGCAACCUCCAGCCAGCUCAGAGAGACGACUCAGGGGUGCUGUAUGCCUCUGUGAGAGUCCCUUCUACUGAACUGGUCUGAACUAGUUACAGUGCAACUGCUUUUUGCUAUUCUUACAUUUCACAAACACCCACUUUGUACUUUAUAGAAUGGGUCUAUGUGACUUUCUUGCUUCAAAGUUGUGGAACCCGUCUUCGGUUUUAUCCUGU